rnacentral:rRNA from 1 species
UAUGUGAUCGUCUCUCGCAUAUCAAUAAGCGGAGGAAAAGAAACUAACAAGGAUUCCCCUAGUAACGGCGAGUGAAGCGGGAAGAGCUCAAAUUUGAAAUCUUAAAGGGUUUCCCUUUACGAAUUGUAGUUUAAAGAAGUGUUUUCUGUUGAGGUUUUGGUAAAAGUUCUUUGGAAUAGGACAUCAUAGAGGGUGAGAAUCCCGUAUUUGACCUUUACUUUCAACUUUGUGAUUACACUUUCAAAGAGUCGGAUUGUAUGGGAAUGCAGUCCAAAAUGGGUGGUAAAUUUCAUCUAAAGCUAAAUAUUGGCGAGAGACCGAUAGCGAACAAGUACCGUGAGGGAAAGAUGAAAAGAACUUGAAAAGAGAGUUAAACAGUACGUGUAAUUGUCAAAAGGGAAGCGUUUGACACCAGUGUUGUUUUUCUGAAAAUCAAUUAAAGAACUGUUUAUGCUAAGCUGUUUAGACUUUAUCAGCUAACUGUUUAGUUUUGAGCCUUUCUUUAAUGCACCUUUCAGUUAACAAGUCAACAUCAAUUUCUUUUGCUGUAAAAAAGCUUGAGGAAGGUGGCUUGAGAUUCGUCUUAAGUGUUUAUAGCCUCUUGCCUAUGCAGUCGGAGAGAUUGAGGUCUGCAGCGUAGAUCCUUCGGGGCUAAAUGCAUUUGUGCUAAGUUAUAGCAUUUUAUAGACAACUUGUUGACUAUGAUUUGUCUUGUAGCUUACUCGCUUAUGUUAUUUUACCUACGCUUAGGAUGUUGAUCUCUCACAGUCGAGC